GCUCAUAAAUAAGCUAGCUACUGCUUGCAAGUUGCAGAUCAUAAUGUCUAUAAAACUGAAUCCCUAUUUCUGCAGCUUUGGUUUUUCAAGUGGAGUUGCUGCGGAACUCUUGUUAGAUUCUGCUUGUCUUCCCUUCGUAUAGCUUUGUGGACCAACGAAGACUUUGGUAUUGGAUUGAAGAAAUUCGUUGGAUCUAUUUAUAGUUUUCGCGGUGGCAUCCUCAUAUAAUAUAUAUGUCUGACUUAGAGGAAAGCGUUCCCCUAAGGGACAAACCAAGUUAUGAUUUUGACGAUAUCGAGAGGCAAGGCCGUCCAACAAAAUGGUCCACAGCAGCAGUUAAUGGAAUUCUUGCCCCAAAGGGGCGCACCCUUCAGCUGUGGAACAAUAUAUUCGUAAUUUCAUGUGUGGUCGCGGUCUCCUUGGAUCCUCUCUUCCUUUAUAUUCCAAUCAUCAAUGAAGAAAACAAGUGCCUUGGAACGGACAAAAAGCUGAGGAAUGCAGCUCUUGUUUUACGCUCACUUACGGAUAUCAUUUUCGUUGUGCGUAUUGUACAUCAAAUUCGAACCAAGCUUGAGGACUCUGAGGAACCAGCCGAAGGAAGGGAGUCAAUGGGAUGGAAAUGGAGGCCCUUGUUAUGUGUCCCUCUCAUAAUUGACUUGCUCGCCAUUCUUCCCAUCCCACAGUUGGCAAUAGUUGUUGUGUUUUUCAGAACGAGGGGCUCUCGGUAUUUACAAAAAUUAAACAUUUUGAACGCCUUUCUACUCUUUCAAUAUGUGCCAAAUGUUUACCGACUUCACAUAUCCAGUGAGAAACUUCAAAAGAAGGAAAGAUGGAUUAAAGGUGCAUUCAAUUUUUUUCUAUACAUCCUUGCGAGUCAUGUACUUGGAGCUUUUUGGUACUUUUUUUCUAUUCAGCGAGAGACAGCAUGUUGGCACCAAGCAUGUAAAAAUACGGAAGACUGCAUAGCUUCUCGUUAUUGCAAUGAUAGUACUUCAAGAAAUAUCACAUUCAUAAAUGAAUUUUGCCCUAUAAAUCCAUCAGAUCCUUCGCUAUUUGAUUUUGGAAUGUACCUUGAUGCCAUUCAGUCUGGUAACACAGGACCAGUAAAUUUUCCAAGAAAAUUCUUUUAUUCUUUCUGGUGGGGAAUCAGAAAUCUAAGUAAUUUUGGGACGAGUCUCGAAACGAGUAGCUACGUGUGGGAAAACUGCUUUGCAAUUCUUAUUGCUGUUAUUGGCUUGCUACUCUUUUUAUAUCUCAUAGGAAACUUGCAGACAUAUAUGCAGUGGGCAGCCGCAAAAGCGGAGGAGCAAAAGGAGGACGACUUAAGAAAGAGAAUUAAGAUGAAAGAGGAUAGUAUAGAUGACUGGAUGUUAAAACAUGGUCUCCCUCAGGAUUUGAAGAAAGAAAUCAUGGAUAUCAUUAAAGAAAAUAACGUGGUGGAGAAAAACAUUGAUGCCGAGGUGGAUGUGAAGUAUCUAUUCUCCAUUGAUCUUCCACGGACCACUGAAAGUUCUAUAAAGCACCACGUGGGCAUGAAUGUGCUAAACAAAGUACCAGUGCUUCAAAAUAUGAAAGUAGAAGUGUUGAAAACGAUCUGCAACCAUCUGAAACCACAGAUCUUAUACCCUGAUAAUAUCAACGUUUUUCGAAGGGGAAAAGCAAUUGAUUUCAUGCUCUUCAUCAUAGAAGGCAACAUAUCGAUCCAAGAAAAUGCCUCAGAACCCACUGAGAGUACUCCUGGGAAAGGUGACUAUUUUGGAAAAGAACUUCUGUAUUGGGCAUCACCGGCAAACUCUUUUGACCUUAAAGUUCCAAGCUCAACACAAAAUGUCAGGUGCCAAACAAAAGUAGAAGCUUUUGCUCUCAAGGCCGAGGCGUUGAGAUCAAUAGUCUUGAAAUACAGACGUACCUGGAAUAGGAUUUUAUACAAUUGUGACAUUAAUUAUCCACAAUUGGAGGAGUUGGAGUUGGCACGAAGUCCCCAUGACAAGACUGAACAGACGUAUAUGCAGAUAUGGGAGGAGAGUUUAAGACUACAGAAGUUGAAGGUCUUGAAAGACAACGACAUACUUGAGUGGGUGUCAAGAAAUGGUCUCCCCGAGAACAUCAAGAAAAAAAUAAUGGAAAACAUAACAGAAGUUAACGCGGUGAAGAAAAACAUAGAUGUUGAUGUGGAUGUGGACUUUGUAUUCUCUAUUCUUCCCCAGGACGUAAAAGAAGCGAUAAAGGUCUACGUUGGCAUGGAUGCACUUAAGAAAGUACCCAUGCUUAAAAAUAUGCCUGAAUCCUCGUUGAAAUUCAUCUGCAAAUAUCUGGAGCCAGUGAUCUACAGCAAGAACGAUUACCUUAUUCGAGCACGAAAACCCCUUAACUCCAUGCUUUUCAUUAUAGAAGGGGUAAUUAUAUGGCCCAAUACGGCUAACGAGGCUGUAACAGCGGGUUCCUAUAUGAUCAACCAGUUAUGUCUUGUGAAAGGUGAUCUUUACGGAGAAGAACUUCUGAGCUGGGCAUCACCCGGCAGCCGUCUUUCUGACCUUCCAAUCUCGACCCAAGAUGUCUGUUGUCAGACAAAAGUAGAAGCUCUUGCCCUCAAGGCAGAGAAAAUGCAAAGUACGGUCUCCGAACUACGAGAGCGGUGGACUAAUUACUACAUUGCACCUCCUCAGGAGAAGACCUAUCUGCAGAUACUAAACGAGACAUAUAGGCAGUUGAAACCAACAAAAUUGGACAACGUUGAGGAUGAGGAGUUAAGACAGAAAAUGAAGAUAAUGAUCAAGGAGAGAGAUAUACUUGAAUGGCUGUCAAGAAAUGAUAUCGAUGACGAUUUGAAGACAAAAAUCAUAAUGCACAUGAAGUUGAAUAAAAUUGUGGAUGAAAACAUUAAUGCGGAUGUGAAUGUGGAGUAUCUCUUUAAUAAUAUACCCUUUGGUAUCGCAAUUCCUAUAAAGAGGCAACUCUGCAUUAGCACGCUAAAGAAAGUACCCAUGCUUGAAAAAAUGCCUGAAGACGUGUUUAAAAAUAUUUGCUACGAAGUCAAGCCAGUGACCUACACCCAGGAUAGCUACGUUGUUCGAGCAGGAGAGCCACUUGAUUUGAUGCUCAUAAUUACAGAAGGCACAGUUAUAUGCGCCGGCACGAAGUAUCUUGAGAAAGGACAUUUUUGUGGAGAAGAACUUCUGAGUUGGGCAUCGCCCAACAUCUUAUUUUCUGGUCGUGCUCCCAUGUCAAUCCAUGAUGUCAAAUGUCAAAAAAAAGUAGAAGGCUUUGCUCUCACAGCCGAUAAGUUGAGAAGUUUCGUUUCGCAAUACAGCUUAGAGUGGAUUUCAAAUUUCAACAAUUAUAGCAAUUCACAUCAGUUGGAGGAGCAGACAGACAACAUUGAUAAGAUACUGAAUGAGGUUCAGAUGGGAACUACAAAAUUGGAGGACAUUGAGGAUGAGGAGGUGAGACAGAAGAUAAAGAUAAUGAUCAAGGAGAAAGAGAUACAUGAGUGGGUGUCAAGAAAUGGUCUCGAGGAGGAUUUGAAAACAAAAAUCAUAAUGCACAUAAAACUAAAUAACCUGGUGGAACAAAACAUUGAUGCUAAUGUGGAUGUGGAGUAUCUCACUAAUAACCUACCGUUCGGUGUGGCAAUUUCUAUAAAGAGGCAUCUCUGCAUUAGUACGCUAAAGAAAGUACCCAUGCUUGAAAAAAUGCCUGAGAAUGUGUUCGCAAAUAUUUGCUACGAAUUGAAGCCAGUGACCUACACAGAGGAUAGCUACAUUGUUCGAGCAGGAGAACAACUUGAUUUAAUGCUCAUCAUUGUAGAAGGCAAAAUUCUGCAGACCGACAUGACUUUGGAUACGGGUACAACGGGUUCAUCGAUGAUCACCAAUUAUCUUGAGAAAGGUGAUUUCUGCGGAGAAGACCUCCUGAGUUGGGCAUCACCCAAUAUAUUAUUUUCUGGUGAUGCUCCUGUCUCAACCCAUGAUGUUAGGUGUGAAACAAAAGUAGAAGGCUUUGCCCUCACGGCGGAUAAGUUGAGAAGUUUCAUCUCCCAAUACACCUCAGAGUGGAUUUCAAAUUUCAACAAUUGUAACAAUUUACAGCAGUUGGGGGAGCUGGCAUUUCGCCCCGACAACAUCGAUAAGAUACUGAACGAGUUGGGAGCUACAAAAGUGGACGACAUUGAGGAUGAGAAAUUAAAAAAGAAGAUGAAGACAGUGAUUAAGGAGAAACAUGUACAAGAGUGGCUGUCAAGAAAUUGCCCCCUUGAUGAGGAUUUGAAGACCAAAGUCAUGAUGCACCUAAAAUUAAAUAAAAUUCUGGAUCAAAACAAUGAUGCUGCGGUGGAUGUGGAGUAUAUCUCUAAUAAUCUACCCUUCGGUACAGCAAUUUCUAUAAAGAGGCAUCUCUGCAUUAGUACGCUAAAGAAAGUACCCAUGCUUGAAAAAAUGCCUGAAGAUGUGUUCAGUAAUAUUUGCUACGAGUUGAAGCCAGUGACCUACACAGAGGACAGCUACAUUGUUCGAGCAGGAGAAAAACUUGAUUUGAUGCUCAUCAUUGUAGAAGGCAAAAUUCUGCCCCCGGACGUGAAUUCUGAUAACGGAACAGCGGGUUCACCAAUGAUCACCAAGUAUCUUGAGAAAGGUGAUUUUUGCGGAGAAGAACUUCUGAAUUGGGCAUCGCCCAAUACAUUAUUUUCUGGUCAUGCUCCUAUCUCAACCCAUGACGUCAAAUGUGAAACAAAAGUAGAAGGCUUCGCUCUCACGGUUGAUAAGUUGAGAAGUUUCGUCUCCCAAUACACCUCAGACUGGAUUUCACAUUUCAAUAAUUCUAAGUCGUGAACUCUUGCAGGACAAGACUGAUGAGAUUUGGAAACACAGUUGAAUAAGAAAAUUAUAAGUAAUGAGACGCUUAUGAGGAAUUUGUUUUUCUUUCCCA